rnacentral:misc_RNA from 1 species
UAGUACAACUCGAGAAAUAAAGG